CUAAACGACUCUCGGCAACGGAUAUCUCGGCUCUCGCAUCGAUGAAGAACGUAGCGAAAUGCGAUACUUGGUGUGAAUUGCAGAAUCCCGCGAACCAUCGAGUCUUUGAACGCAAGUUGCGCCCGAAGCCAUUAGGUUGAGGGCACGUCUGCCUGGGCGUCUCA
rnacentral:rRNA from 2 species